rnacentral:rRNA from 1 species
CAGCCGCCGCGGUAAUACGAGGGGUGCAAGCGUUAUUCGGAUUGAUUGGGUGUAAAGGGUGUGCAGACGGCUUAUUAUGUCACUUGUUAAAUUCUUCGGCCUAACUGAAGGUCUGCAAGUGAUACUGAUGAGCUAGAGGGUGGAAGAGAGAAGUGGAAUUCUCGGAGUAGCGGUAAAAUGCGUAGAUCUCGAGAGGAACACCAAUGGCGAAGGCAGCUUCUUGGUCCAUUCCUGACGUUCAUACACGAAAGCGUGGGGAGCAAACAGGAUUAGAUACCCGCGUAGUCCCUGUCUCUUAUAC